CGCGGGAUGGAGCAGUCAGGCAGCUCGUCGGGCUCAUAACCCGAAGGUCGUCGGUUCGAAUCCGACUCCCGCAACUA
rnacentral:tRNA from 1 species